rnacentral:piRNA from 1 species
UAGAAAUAACGAGGUGGGCCUGGUCUGU